AAGAUUAAGCCAUGCAUGCCUAGGAAGGGUGUAGUUAUUACAGAAUCUGCGGAUGGCUCCGUAUACCUGUUACUACCUGUAGUUCCCAUCCCUUUUCAGCGGAUAAUGCUGGAAACCCUAGCAAUAAUACGUUAUUACAUAUUAUUGUAGAUCAGGUUGCUUAAGCUCGAAAGGAGUGCACCUCUCGCAGGUGCUUCCUUUCAACAGGGGUUUGCUCCUGGUCGCUGGGGUUCCUGCUUUUCCGGCAUACCGACCCGGGAACCAAAAGAGUGGCUGCGUUAAGUCGUGCUCCUUUGUCUCCCAAGCAUCUGGGCAACAUGUAGGCGCUUUCUGAGCUGAUUCAUCAGCGAAGGCAGUGCUUAUCCAGUUGCGAGGGAACCAAGACGAAGAAACGGGCACGAUGUAGCUUACUCUUUCCCGGUGCUCGACCAAUGCAUGAUUUGGGUGGGAGGAUUUGCCUCGAUGGAGGCAUUUUCUCAAUGCUCUCCACGCCUACGUUGGGCUUCAGUCCUAUCAACUGGAUUGCUGGGCAUUGACCUGCCACGGUAGUAACGGGUGCAGAGGAUUAGGGUUUGAUCCUGGAGAGGUAGCCUGAGAAAUAGCUCCCACUUCCAUGGAAGGCAGCAGGCGCGCAACGUUCCCAAUGGUUAACGGACCGAGGACGUUAAGGAACAUAGCAAUACUUUGCCUAAUAGCAAAGCAAUUGAAAUGGGGGAGAUCCAAAUCAUCCACCGAGUAACAAUUAGAGGACA
rnacentral:rRNA from 1 species